rnacentral:tRNA from 1 species
CAAAUUAGAGCUUGAGUAUAAAGUAUUUCAUUUACAUUGAAAGGAUAUUAAUUUAUUGAUUAAUUUGA